AACGAACGCUGGCGGCAUGCCUAACACAUGCAAGUCGAACGAGACCUUCGGGUCUAGUGGCGCAUGGGUGCGUAACGCGUGGGAACCUGCCCUUAGGUUCGGAAUAACUCCCCGAAAGGGGUGCUAAUACCGGAUAAUGUCUUCGGACCAAAGAUUUAUCGCCUUUGGAUGGGCCCGCGUUGGAUUAGCUAGUUGGUAGGGUAAAAGCCUACCAAGGCGACGAUCCAUAGCUGGUCUGAGAGGAUGAUCAGCCACACUGGGACUGAGACACGGCCCAGACUCCUACGGGAGGCAGCAGUGGGGAAUAUUGGACCAUGGGCGAAAGCCUGAUCCAGCAAUGCCGCGUGAGUGAUGAAGGCCUUAGGGUUGUAAAGCUCUUUUACCCGGGAUGAUAAUGACAGUACCGGGAGAAUAAGCUCCGGCUAACUCCGUG
rnacentral:rRNA from 1 species